rnacentral:rRNA from 1 species
GACGAACGCUGGCGGCGUGCCUAACACAUGUAAGUCGCACGGGACUGGAGGGCAACUUCCAGUUCAGUGGCAGACGGGUGCGUAACACGUGAGGAACUUGUCCAACGGCGGGGAUAGCCGGCCCAACGGCCGGGUAAUACCGCAUACGAUCAUUUGGGGGCAUCCCUGAAUGAAGAAAGCAGCCGCAAGGUUGCGCCGAUGGAGAGUCUCGCGGCCUAUCAGCAGUUGGCGGGGUAAUGGCCCACCAAGGCGACGACGGGUAGCUGGUCUGAGAGGAUGGCCAGCCACAUUGGGACUGAGACACGGCCCAGACUCCUACGGGAGGCAGCAGUGGGGAAUCUUGCGCAAUGGCCGCAAGGCUGACGCAGCGACGCCGCGUGUGGGA